UACGUAGGGGGCAAGCGUUGUCUGGAUUUAUUGGGCGUAAAGAGCGUGUAGGCGGCCAGAUAGGUCCGUUGUGAAAACUGGAGGCUUAACCUCCAGCGGUCGAUGGAAACCAUCUGGCUAGAGUCCGGAAGAGGAGAAUGGAAUUCCCGGUGUAGCGGUGAAAUGCGCAGAUAUCGGGAAGAACACCCGUGGCGAAGGCGGUUCUCUGGGACGGUACUGACGCUGAGACGCGAAAGCGUGGGGAGCAAACAGG
rnacentral:rRNA from 1 species